rnacentral:lncRNA from 1 species
CGGAUUCGCAAAUGUGUGUUCUCGGGUUAUGGAUUUAACAUAGUCUAAAUAGAUUCGGCAAGAGAUUGCGCGGCAUAAGACUCUCUCGACCUCUUUUGCCCAUACUGAAAUUCCAGGACAUUCAUGAAUCUACUCGAGCUCUUUGGCAGUAUUAAGAUCCCCUACCCACCUUUCAUGUAAAAAGAAAAAGGCGACUCGCCAAUGUCAAUCUUAUGGUUCUAAGGGCAAGUACCUCCUACUAAACGUCCUUAUUGAAAACGAAAGCGACACCCCUUGCUGAGAUAAGAUUCCAUAAAGCAGACCACUUUUUCCUUGGGCCGUAGAGAAUAAAACAUCCUUUCCCCCGGAAAAGAGGAUAAGAAUCUGAUGUCGAAGAGGGAUCUAAUUUUCCUUCAAUUAAUUAAGCCAAGUAGUGGCUCUUUCCCGACCGGAUGUUAUCUAAAUCCCUAAAAGUCUCAGUCGCAAGCAA